UACGUAGGUGGCAAGCGUUGUCCGGAUUUACUGGGUGUAAAGGGCGUGCAGCCGGGCCGGCAAGUCAGAUGUGAAAUCUGGAGGCUUAACCUCCAAACUGCAUUUGAAACUGUAGGCCUUGAGUACCGGAGAGGUUAUCGGAAUUCCUUGUGUAGCGGUGAAAUGCGUAGAUAUAAGGAAGAACACCAGUGGCGAAGGCGGAUAACUGGACGGCAACUGACGGUGAGGCGCGAAAGCGUGGGGAGCAAACAGG
rnacentral:rRNA from 1 species